rnacentral:lncRNA from 1 species
CAGACUUUCCUGAAAUAGCUCCCUCUGGGUGGGCACCUGACCUUCCUGAAAGUUCCUCCACUCCCCCGCCCCCACCUCUCCCUGACUCCUGACUUUGGAGAUUCUCAAAAGAAUUUUUAAACCUUCCUCUGACCUACCAGUGGCAUCACCCCAAUCAAGCAACAGAUUUUAGAUGCACAUUUUUCUUGUUCACCCACCUUCAUUGACAAGCCCAGUCACUCCAUGCCUUGAUUUUGUUUUGGUUCUUGAGGCUGCAGCCAGCUGCAGUUAUUCUCAACUCUUGAUGGCACUGGAGAGGAGGGUCGUUGUGGGAUAACCCUGACUCAGUGGGGCCCAGGAGAAAAAUGCUGGGUUUCUCCAUGGUCCUGGGCCUGGGAUAGAUGGGGAGCCAUUACAGUGGGUUGGCUCUGGCUGGAGCAGGGUUCAUGGGAAUCCCUAGUUGACUCUCACCUUGGUCAAUGUUCCUCAAAAUAUCUUCAAAAGGUUUCCUUGAGAUGCUUCUGCAAAGGAAAGAAUACUCUGCUCGGAUACAUCUGGGGAACUCAGUCCCGCUCAGUCCUUGAUUGCAAGCCACAGAAGCCAAUUGUCUGAAUUUAAGCUUAGACAGGAGUUAUUCUAAGGACAUGAGGUAGCUCAAAGAAUUUCCUGAAGGAUCAGAAAAUAAAGUUCAGGAAUAAAGCAACUGGGAAAAGCACCCAAAGUCACAUUGUAGCACUGGUUCCAGGAAGACCCCACUGCCACACAGGCACCUUAGCUUGGGCCACCAGCUCCACCAGCCCUGGAACCAUCACCUCCGCUGUAGCCUCUGGAGACCGUUGCCACACCCCAAGCCCCACCCCAUCACUAUGCUGGGGCUUCUGCUUCUUUGUAUUUAAUUCUUCUUUACAAUAGUAGGUUAGCCACUUCCAGCUUCUGUACUGGGAGGCAGCCUCUGCCUCAAAACACAGGGGGACAUCCUCAGACCUAGGCAGGGAGAGCAGGUGCUGGGUGGCCCAAAAGAAUGACAAGGGGUUCUUUACACUGUGGCCCUGAUCUCCAUUGCAAUGCUUUAGGACAGGGAUUCUAGAAGUGGCUGACCUACAUUGUCUCAGCCCCUCUUGCAGCAAGGGGAGAGACCCGUGACCUCAUUCCACCAACCAGAUGCAUUCUCUCAGGCUUUGAAUCAAAAUGUCCCCUUGAGGACAAAGUCACCCCUGGUUGAGAACCACUGUCUAGGAUUGGCUGGAAAUCUGUAAUCCAUUUGUGGAACCAGGAUUGGUUUAAUCUGCUUUUCCAAACUGAUUUAACCAUGGGAAACCUUUUUCUCUGAUGCUCUUUGGCUUUGUUUCACAUGACUUAUUUUGGGAAACACUGAGGACCUAGGUCUAGGUGUUUCUUGAGGGUAGAAGGUUGCACAGUUCCAGUGGUGCUCCAGGUCUUCUAGUCACCACCUUCUCUACCUGCCCAUGUUCCUGAACAGGCUGGAGUCUCCCAGAGCCCAGAUUUGUGAAGGCCCAACCUCCAGGGAGUUGGUUGUGACUAUGAGAAAUAUUCCUAGAUCCAAGGGAGGAGCCUGCAGGAUGCCAGUCAGGUUGUAGGGUCAUUCUUCUUCCCUUAACUGUGAACUCACCCUGCAGACACAGGUAUUGGCCUAACCACUAAGAAUACAGCCUUGGAAACAAGUCUCCUGCCUGUGCUUGUCCCCUGUGGCCCCCAGCACCAUUUGACAAGGAUCCCACAAGACUCAGGUGGGCUUCAGCCCAGUUGGUCUCCAAUGUGCAGGCCCAGCCUCCCUGACCAUAUUCCACACAUUUUUACCAGGUCCAUGCAUGUUCACAGGUUCACCAGGCUCCGGAUUCAGGGCCAAGUGCAUCUGCCCCAGCCCAGAAAACAUUCCUACCACUGCAUGGUGGGACACAGGACCCUGAGGAGGAGCUGAUAGAGUUGUCAUUGACAAGACCAUAGGUGCAUGUCUCCCUGCACACUAAGCAGUCCCAUCUGAGGACUUCUGUGACCCAACAGUCUCCCCACAGAUGGCUCAGUUUUUGCUUGAAGCUUCAUCUUUGGACCUCCCUCAUGUGGCUCAUGGUCCCUUCCAGUGAUCUUGGUUCUUAACCUUGGGGAACUGGUACAGUGAAAAUAGAAUGAGACCAGGGUUAGACAAAGCUGUGUUUGAUCUACUUUGGGCAUGUCACCUUUCUCUCUGAACUUCAAUUUCAUUGUCUGUGUAGAUUUUUUAAAAGCACUUUCUUCUCCUACAUGCCAGGAUUCUGUAUUUUAGGUAUGACCGGUGGCUCCUGGGUGGUAGAGGGUAGGGCCCCUGAUGCCUCCUGAAGAAUUGAGGUCCCCAUGCUUUGGGCCCCAGGGUGUAUCUUCAUGGGGCAGGGGAGACAACUGGAGUAUAAAAAAAGGAAAGAAAAAAAAAAAACCAAAGGUCUGAAAAAUGCCUUGGAUCUCAACCAGCCAGAGGAUGCGCCAAUGGAAAAUUCCUGCUAUGUGUCAGAGGCCCACCUGGCCCGGGUGACAGCCAGCCAGACGCACAGGCCCCACUGCAUGUUUAGACAGCAUUUUCCUGCCCUGGCCAGAGAUCCCCCUGGCCCUCACCAAGGCUUCUCCUGGGAAAAGCGGGUAGGGUGGUCUGGGGUCUUUGCCUGGGUUCAGCUGUCUGUAUCUCAGAUUCUGGGACUGGCUCUAGGAGCAGCACGGUGAGCUUUGAUAGAAAAAGAGGGCAGCAGGAGGCUCAGGCCUGGGGCCUGCCCUAAGCCUACCUCUGUAACCCAGGAGUAGCUGUGUCCCCUCUGCAGGCCCCAGAAUCCCCACCUAUAUGGCAUAUGAAGUGGACAUGAAUGUCUCCAGAGUCCUCACAACCCAAACAUCCUGCUGGAUCAGAUCUCCAAUAUCAGAGGGCUUCCUCCUCUGCCCCAGCAGAGGCCAAGGUCGCUCAUGAGCAGAUCCUAGGGGAGACUCCAGCAGAUGCCUCAGAGGCUUAUGCUGUCCGUCAGAGGAAAGUGGCCACAGUUAUCUUUAACUUUGGGACUAACAAGGUGGCAGUGCUAUCAGUGCAUGCUGAGGUUUGCUAAGGGUGAGGGCUAGGGACCUGGGAAGGGCCAAGGGGAACCUGGAGCCUCAGGGUACAGUAUUUGUACAACACCUUUGGAGGAAGUCUUUGAAUCUAGGAAUGCUCCAGAGAACACGGUGCAUGUUCUUUUUCUGUUGGUUGG